CUACGGGCCGCAGCAGUGGGGAAUAUUGCACAAUGGAGGGAACUCUGAUGCAGCAACGCCGCGUGGAGGAUGGCGCAUUUCGGUGUGUAAACUCCUUUUAUAUAGGAAGAUAAUGACGGUACUAUAUGAAUAAGCACCGGCUAACUCCGGUGCCAGCAGCCGCGGUAAUACGGAGGGUGCAAGCGUUACUCGGAAUCACUGGGCGUGAAAGCGCAUGCAGGCGGUUAAAUAAGUUGGAAGUGAAAUCCUAUGGCUCAACCAUAGAACUGCUUCCAAAACUGUUUAACUAGAGUCUGGGAGGGGAAGAUGGAAUUAGUAGUGUAGGGGUAAAAUCCGUAGAGAUUACUAGGAAUACCAAAAGCGAAGGCGAUCUUCUGGAACAGUACUGACGCUGAGAUGCGAAAGCGUGGGGAGCAAACAGGAUUAGAUACCCGAGUAGUC
rnacentral:rRNA from 1 species